AGGCUUUGUGACCAGGGGGAUCAGCGCUGCUUUCCCAAAACAGGUUUAUAUGUGAUUAUGAUCUUCAGGCUUUGCCUAACCAGAUUGGCUGGCUGGUGCUGACGGGACGGAGCUGAGGCUAGAGAUAAAUUCCUAUGUUAGACUUCCGCUGUAGCAAUUACUCAUAUCAGUCUUUUGUUUUCCCAACUUAAGAUCUUCAUGUUAAAUUUCAAAUGAUAUACCUGACCGAGCUUAGACUCUUCACUACUUAAUUUAUGCCAAUGAAUGUCGGUUGUCAGAAGCAUGAAACAAAACUUGUGAUCCAAAGGGGCAUAGCCCGACUUUCUAUCCUAUUUCGGGUUUUUACAAGGUUGUUCCUUGUUUAUUUCUA